AAAUAAGAGAGGACACGACAAUAAAGAACCAAGACAGAAAAAGAAUAAGAAGGAGCCAGAGAGGACGUGUUCUGGAUGAACGCUACGUACUUGCCGUGACCUGCAUUCAAACCUGGGUUACUGCGACCACAGCGCAGGGUGCUAACCUCUACACGAUCACGGCUGCUUGAUACCUUGGUCGUGAAAUCAAGAAGAGACAAUUAUGUGAAGAUGAAACAAGAGGAACACGAAAAAAAAGAAGAAACACAACCAAAAGACAAAAGGAGGUUACACGGAAAAAUAUGAAAGACUGGAGAAACAACAAUAUGAUGAGAGAAGAAGAAAUAACCAAGAGGAUGUGA